GACGAACGCUGGCGGCGCGCUUAACACAUGCAAGUCGAGCGAAGCGGCGGACGGGUGAGUAACACGUGAGUAACCUGCCUUAGACCUUGGGAUAGCCUCGGGAAACCGGGAUUAAUAACAAAUGGUCUAAGGUGGACUCGCGUCCCAUUAGCUAGUUGGUGGGUAACGGCACGCCAAGGCGACGAUGGGUAGCCGGCCGGAGAGGGGGAACGGCCACAUUGGAACUGAGACACGGUCCAAACUCUACGGGGGGCAGCAGUAGGGAAUGUUUCCCAAUGGAGGGAACUCUGAUGCAGCGACGCCGCGUGAACGAAGAAGUCUUUCGAGUCGUAAAGUUCUUUUAUAUGGGAAGCGGUACCAUAAGAAAAAGCCCCGGCUAACUACGUGCCAGCAGCCGCGGUAAUUC
rnacentral:rRNA from 1 species